AUUGAACGCUGGCGGCAGGCCUAACACAUGCAAGUCGAGCGAGCGGCGGACGGGUGAGUAAUGUAUGGGGACUGCCCGAUAGAGGGGGAUAACUACUGGAAACUGUGGCUAAUACCGCAUACUAUCGGAUAACCCAUAUGGGAUUAGCUAGUAGGUGGGGUAAAGGCUCACCUAGGCGACGAUCUCUAGCUGGUCUGAGAGGAGGAUCAGCCGCAAUGGGACUGAGACACAGACCAGACACCAACGGAGGCAGCAGUGGUGAAGAUUGCACAAUGGGCGGAAGCCUGAUGCAGCCAUGCCGCGUGUAUUAAGAAGGCAAUAGGGUUGUAAAGUACUUUCAGCGGGGAAGCGUUACCCGCAGAAGAAGCACCGGCUAACUCCGUGCCAGCAGCCGCGGUAAUUC
rnacentral:rRNA from 1 species